rnacentral:lncRNA from 1 species
UCGCUUACCAAUAGAUGAACAGAGAAGAUAUGAAGAAUUGGUGAAGGGAAGAUACGAUUUAUGCCAACUGAAAAUUUCCAGCUUGUUAAAUUCCAGUUCAUUAAUCAUGAGUGUCAAAAUGUUCAAUGUAUGCUACAGGUUACACUGAACCAUAUCAGUAAUUCAUCAUGCAAAUCAUAAACUAUCACCAAUAGUUAUCAAUGCUGUCAAGAAAAUCUCCCUAAUCAGUAUCUGGUUUCCCAGAACCAAACUUAUCAAAGCAUAAAGCUUUUGCAGGAUGUCUUCCAACCAAGAUGACCGUUUCAGACAGAAUACAGUUUAAAUAAAUAGAAUAUAGGAACAGGUUAAACUUUUAUUUUCUCUCGCAGCACUAUAGCUACAUUCAAGCACUACUUGUUCUAUUAAGUAAACCUUGAAGCAGAGUUCCAUUUAAGAACGUCAGAUGAGCUAAACUUAGUUGUAAACAUGAAUCCAAACUCAAAUAUCGAUCCCAGACAAAUGCCCCAAAUAAAGCUCUAUACAGGCAAGCUGCCAUGUAACCUCCCUCAAUGAGUAAACUGAGAUUGAGCUUUAAGAAUAAGGUAAAUUACUUUUACAUAGCUCACUGUUAGGCCACUACAUAGCUUUCAAGGAUAGAGAACUCUAAUAACAAUGGAGAAAAAGGACAGCUAAGUUUAGCUCAUCUAGUUAGUACCCAAAAGCUCUCCAACGUGCCAAGUAAUCGUUAGUCUAACCAUUAAUUAUGGUGCUAAAACAAAGAGUCCUGGAGAGUCCAUUUGUCAUUCUUCCACUAUCAUGAUUUCUCUACAAAUGGUUUAGUUCCACUAAUGGCGACAAAGAUAAUGUAGAUAUAUUCUUACCAAAAUAAUUUUAUAUAAUAGUUACUGAAUCUCAAAUAAUCAGUUAUGUCAUUAAUUAGUGGUGCCAUGAUUUUAUGCUAAUACUUAAUACACUAAAGAAUUUAGACUGAAAAGACAUUGUAAGCUGACAUGUUCCGAUAGCAUCCCCAUCCAAAACAUGACAAAGCGUUGUUCAAGUCCACUACAAACGAAAAAUGGAGUUUCCCUAUCAUAAAAUGAGUAAAGGGAGAUGGAAAAAGCUCGCAAACUUCCUAUGAAACUGUCAAAUUGUGAAACUUAAAGAUAAACAGAGUACUCAAUAAGACUAGUAAAAAUGAUUUUGCAGAAGACAAAAUACCUUAGUGGUGUAAACUUUGUCACCGUUCUCGUUGAUGUAACUUCACCUGUUUACAGACAACAACAGUAAACAAGAAACCUCGGAAUUACAGAGCAAACAAAAACUGCAAAAAUGUUGUAGUACUAAAACCCUAAAAGUACCUGAGCUGCUUCGCCGGUUUAUGGAGCUAGAAAUUGACACAGAAUAGUCCUUAGGGUUUCUUAUAAAGAACGCGGAAAAAUUAGGGACAUAAAAGGAAAAUGAAAAGAAAUGAGGGCAAAUACGUAAUUGAAUGCAGUCCAACACAUCUCUCCUACCAAACACACCUUCCUUCUUCACCCCAAAAAUUCUGAACUCAAACGCCUGAGAAAAACUGAAGCUUUUUGAUCUACAAAGCAAUGUCGUUUGA